GAUGAAGAACGCAGCGAAAUGCGAUAAGUAGUGUGAAUUGCAGAAUUCCGUGAAUCAUCGAAUCUUUGAACGCACAUUGCGCCUUCUGGUAUUCCGGAAGGCAUGCCUGUUCGAGAGUCAUUAACAACCGUUUCGAUCCCUUUCUUUCAGAAAUUACAAAGAGGAAAAGGGUUUGGUUAUGGUGGAGGAGGGAAAGGGAGCGUUUAGCCUGUAAAAAAAGAGGCUGUGUUCCGCCGCCCCCCCAAAAUUGUACAGGCGGUCGUGUGCGCCCACGCAUCGAGGUGUUGUAAAAGCUGCCACGGCACUUUUCACCUGUGCAGUGCGAGAUUGGCCAGCCGGUUUAAAAACCCCUCCAAACAAUCAAAGGUUGACCUCGGAUCAGGUAGGGAUACCCGCUGAACUUAAGCAUAUCAAUAAGCGGAGGA
rnacentral:misc_RNA from 1 species